rnacentral:rRNA from 1 species
UUUAUUGGAGAGUUUGAUCCUGGCUCAGGAUGAACGCUGGCGGCGUGCCUAAUACAUGCAAGUCGAGCGAAUGGAUUAAGAGCUUGCUCUUAUGAAGUUAGCGGCGGACGGGUGAGUAACACGUGGGUAACCUGCCCAUAAGACUGGGAUAACUCCGGGAAACCGRGGCUAAUACCGGAUAACAUUUUGAACUGCAUGGUUCGAAAUUGAAAGGCGGCUUCGGCUGUCACUUAUGGAUGGACCCGCGUCGCAUUAGCUAGUUGGUGAGGUAACGGCUCACCAAGGCAACGAUGCGUAGCCGACCUGAGAGGGUGAUCGGCCACACUGGGACUGAGACACGGCCCAGACUCCUACGGGAGGCAGCAGUAGGGAAUCUUCCGCAAUGGACGAAAGUCUGACGGAGCAACGCCGCGUGAGUGAUGAAGGCUUUCGGGUCGUAAAACUC